GAUGGUUUGGGAGAGUGGUUAAUCCGCUGCCUUUAGGUGACCAAAUCGAUCGGCAGUGCCUUUGGCGCGCGAGUUCGAAUCUCGUAACCAUCA
rfam:Calocera viscosa TTFC12733 unplaced genomic scaffold CALVIscaffold_2, whole genome shotgun sequence.